GAUGAACGCUGGCGGCGUGCCUAAUACAUGCAAGUCGAGCGAACAGACGAGGAGCUUGCUCCUCUGACGUUAGCGGCGGACGGGUGAGUAACACGUGGAUAACCUACCUAUCAGACUGGGAUAACUUCGGGAAACCGGAGCUAAUACCGGAUAAUAUAUUGAACCGCAUGGUUCAAUAGUGAAAGACGGUUUUGCUGUCACUAAUAGAUUGAUCCGCGCCGCAUUAGCUAGUUGGUAAGGUAACGGCUUACCAAGGCGACGAUGCGUAGCCGACCUGAGCGGGUGAACGGCCACACGGGAACAGAGACACGGUCCAGACUCCGACGGGAGGCAGCAGUAGGGAAUCUUACGCGAUGGGGGAAAGCCUGACGGAGCAACGCCGCGGGAGUGAUGAAGGUCUUCGGAUCGGAAAACUCUGUUAGUAGGGAAGAACAAAUGUGUAAGUAACUAUGCACGUCUUGACGGUACCGAAUCAGAAAGCCACGGCUAACUACGUG
rnacentral:rRNA from 1 species